AGGACGAACGCUGGCGGCGUGCUUAACACAUGCAAGUCGAGCGGUAAGGCCUUUCGGGGUACACGAGCGGCGAACGGGUGAGUAACACGUGGGUGAUCUGCCCUGCACUUCGGGAUAAGCCUGGGAAACGUGGGUCUAAUACCGGAUAUGACCUCAGGUUGCAUGACGUUGGGGUGGAAAGUAUUUAUCGGUGCAGGAUCGGGCCCGCGGCCUAUCAGUCUUGGUUGGGUGGGUAAUGGCCUAACCGAAGGCGACGGACGGGUACGCCGACCGUGAGGAGGGUCGACCGGCCACGACGUGGGACUGGAGACGACGGCCCAGACCUCCGUACGGGAGGCGAGCGAGGUGGGAAUAUUGCACGAAGUGGGACGAAAGCCUGAUGCAGGCGACGCCGCGUAGGAGGAUGGACCGGUCCGUUACGGGUUCGUUAAACCGUUCUUU
rnacentral:rRNA from 1 species